rnacentral:rRNA from 1 species
UACGGAGGAUGCGAGCGUUAUCCGGAUUUAUUGGGUUUAAAGGGUGCGCAGGCGGUCUGUUAAGUCAGCGGUCAAAGCCCGGGGCUCAACCCCGUACUGCCGUUGAAACUGCAUCCCUUGAGUGCGCGAGAAGUAGGCGGAAUGCGCAGUGUAGCGGUGAAAUGCUUAGAUAUUGCGCAGAACUCCGAUUGCGAAGGCAGCAUACCGGCGCCCAACUGACGCUGAAGCACGAAAGCGUGGGUAUCGAACAGG